rfam:Tetrahymena thermophila SB210 genomic scaffold scf_8254379, whole genome shotgun sequence.
UGAGCACCUAUGGUUUGAUUACUAGAUUCUAAUAUGACUAUGUAAUCCAUGCAGGAUGCUUAAAUUGAAUUUUGGUUAAACGGGAGUAUUAAAUUCAUUUUAAUAAACCUUCUUUUCCAACCAAAGACAUUU